rnacentral:lncRNA from 1 species
UGCUCUCCCCAUGCUUCCCCUCCGUCAAUAUAAUUCACAUAAACCCCUGAAAGAUUAUUUUUAAUAAUUUGAUUUAAGGCCGCACACUUAUGAUUUUUUUUUUUAAUAUGAUUUAAAAAAUAAAAUCAUAGUUAUGGUUUUAUUGCACCGUUACAUUCAACUUUUUGUUAAAACAUAAUGUUUUUGUAGGAAAAUUUUAAUCUGAGGGUACCUGUUGCAUUAUCUGAGGGAAGUCGGAGACUCGGAGGAUAAGGUCUUCUCCCGUUGUUGACAAAGAUUUUCUCGAGAGUGAUAUCUUGAAAGUACCACCAACGUACAAUUACAACAACAACAAAAAAAAAGUACCACCAACGUAGUCUCCAGCAUGUCUAAACCAG